UGAGCCCGCGUCCCAUUAGCUGGUUGGUGGGGUAAUGGCCUACCAAGGCGACGAUGGUUAGCUGGUCUGAGAGGAUGAUCAGCCACACUGGAACUGGAACACGGUCCAGACUCCUACGGGAGGCAGCAGUGGGGAAUUUUCCGCAAUGGGCGAAAGCCUGACGGAGCAACGCCGCGUGAGGGAUGAAGGCCUCUGGGCUGUAAACCUCUUUUCUCAAGGAAGAAGAACUGACGGUACUUGAGGAAUAAGCCACGGCUAAUUCCGUGCCAGCAGCCGCGGUAAUACGGGAGUGGCAAGCGUUAUCCGGAAUUAUUGGGCGUAAAGCGUCCGCAGGCGGCCCUUCAAGUCUGCUGUUAAAAAGUGGAGCUUAACUCCAUCGUGGCAGUGGAAACUGUUGGGCUAGAGUGUGGUAGGGGCAGAGGGAAUUCCCGGUGUAGCGGUGAAAUGCGUAGAUAUCGGGAAGAACACCAGUGGCGAAGGCGCUCUGCUGGGCCAUAACUGACGCUCAUGGACGAAAGCCAGGGGAGCGAAAGGGAUUAGAUACCCCUGUAGUCCUGGCCGUAAACGAUGAACACUA
rnacentral:rRNA from 1 species